rnacentral:tRNA from 1 species
GUCCGGGUGGCGGAAUGGUAGACGCGCUAGCUUGAGGUGCUAGUCCUCGCAAGGGGGUAGGGGUUCAAGUCCCCUUUCGGACAC